rnacentral:rRNA from 1 species
UACGUAGGGGGCGAGCGUUGUCCGGAUUUAUUGGGCGUAAAGAGCGUGUAGGCGGUCAGGUAGGUCCGUUGUGAAAACUCAGGGCUCAACCCGGAGACGCCAUCUGAUACUGCGGUGACUGGAGUCUGGUAGGGGAACACGGAAUUCCUGGUGUAGCGGUGAAAUGCGCAGAUAUCAGGAGGAACACCGAUGGCGAAGGCAGUGUUCUGGGCCAGUACUGACGCUGAGGAGCGAAAGCGUGGGGAGCAAACAGG